rnacentral:lncRNA from 1 species
GGUGACUUCACGGACUUAUCUGUACCGCAGGAAGGCAUUGUGCCGGGGUAAUGAGAUAACAAGUCAAGAGGCUCUUGGGCAACCGAAUGAGGUCAAGAGCAAGUCUUUGUUAUUACCUGUUCCUGGCACUGGCAGCACAAACAAACCCAAACAGUUUCACCAAAGCAGACUGAUUGGAAAGAGGAGCUGAAACUCUCCCAGGAUGGGGACCAUUCCUAUUAUCACAGUCUUAUUGAAGUCUGAACUUCCUGGCAAUUCAUCUGCAGUGGGAAAGCUACAUUUCUCUAUACAGGCUCACAGGGAACCGGAACUCUAUCCAGUGCUGUACACCAGCACAGAACAAGUAAUGGUGCCGCCUCUUACUGGAGCUUAGAUCACAGGAUCUGCCGCCUCUACAACCAAGGUUCCAUCACUGCCCAAUACUCCAGGGGCUGGAGAGCAAGCCUGCAACACACAGACCUUUGGGGGACAUCUAAGAUCCAAACUAUAGCACAAAAGGAAGACAAUGAAAGGAUCCGUGUCAAAGAAUUAUGCAGGUGUUAACUGCCUCUUCAGAGAUGGCCAGGCCCUCCCUGGAAAAUGAGAGGCCAAACCAGAGAGUCAUCCAUCAGAUGAAUAGUUGACUAACCACAGAUAUCCAUCAGGUUCUUGCCAUGUGCCAAGCUCGCUAUGUGGGCUCUGGGGAGAAUGUGAAAGUAACCAUGGCUGGGUCCUGUGACAAAGAAAAGAGUGCAAUAGCCCACAAAUAGCAGUUUCCUUUAUCAAUGGAAAAUCAUCAGGGAGGAUUUAGGUGCAAGAUGAGUGAAAUACUUACCUGGGCUGGGUGCUAGGAAUUCAGAGGGGAAAGAAGGAAGAAUGUGUGUGCGUACUGGAGCAUGUGUUUUGUGAUUCGUGUCCGGCUCCUAUUUAGGAGGCAAACUGAAUGAAAACAUUCUUCAUGGGAUAGGAAGUAGAACCAUGUUGGGGCCCAGAGUGUGGAAAAAUGGAUAAGGGGGCUGAGGGUGUAGCUGUCAUGCAUGGUUCAAGAAAAUGGAGAGAAAGAAAAAAUAGGGAAGGACUAGAGGCACGAUGUCAAGUUAGAAUACAAAGAUUCUAGCGAGAAGCCAAGGUCCCCGUAGGUGUUUAAUCUGAUGUGUGAUUCAGCGAAACACAUAUGAAAUCAGUAGUGUCCACCUUGCUUUUAUUCACAUAGACCAGGUGUCUGUCCACGUGCUUAUUUAUACGCCUAGCCCUGAGUAUAUGAAUUCUUUCUGUAAUAGCUACUGGAACCCUUACUUUAAUAGUUACUGGAAUUCUUACUUUCGCCCUUCUUUUGCAGGCCUGGGAAUUGAACUCAGAGCCUAGUGCAUGCUAAGCAAGCAGUGUGCCUCUGAGUUACAUCCCAGACCCCAUUCUUGCCUUUGAGAAUAGACAAAUAAAAGCCCUACCUCGGAGAGCUAUUAGAGGGUCAGCUAAAAGAAAUGGAAUCCAGCAUGUCUUGUACUGGCCUCUGAAUCCUAAAGCUUGUUCCUGUUCUCAUACUAUUUCUUUCAGGAUUCUUAUUCCCUUAAAUGUAGUCUCACCCCUAACCUUAGACCUGGGUGAAAUAAAGAUUCAGGAUGGGGUUAAAGAAAGUGGUUGAGAGCUAAGACCAAACAUAAAGUUUAUUCUCUCUGGUUCUUAGUGUGCAUGGCAAAAAGUGGGCAUGACCCUGGGUACAGUGGCACACACCUAUAAUCUCAGCUCUCUGGGAGGCUGAGGCAGGAGGAUCAAAAAUUCAAGUCUUGCUUGGGGAAUUUAGUGAGAUCCUAUCUCAAUUAAAAAAAGAAAAUGUGGUACUGGGGAUUGAACCCAGGGCUUUUGCACUGUUUUAUACCCAGUACUUUUUAUUUUUAACUUUUGAGACAAGGACUUGAGAAUUUGCUAAAUUGCCCCAAGGUGGGCUUCAACUUGCCAUCUUCCUGCCUUAGCUUCCCAGACUGGUGGGAUUACAGGCAUGUGCCACCAUGCCUUGGCCGAUCUCAAAAUAAAAAUAAAUAAGUAAGUAGAGCUGGGGAUGUAGCUCAGUGUGAAGGCCCUGGGUUCCAUCCCCAAGUACGGGGGUGGGGUGUGGGAAAGAAAGUGGGUGUGGCUUCUUAAGCAUUGACUGGAUUGGACCAUUUGAGAGGAUAAAAUGUCAUAAAAUAAUCCUGAUAUCAUUGCUUUAAAAUUUUAUCAGGAUGUGAUUUCAUUGAAGUCUUUUAUAUUAAUAAUUCCAUAAUUGCUUUAUGUUUACAUAUCAUUGUGCAAAAAAUAUAAAUCUCUCUGGUUUUAUUUCUUUCCUUUUUUUGGGUGGCAUUAGGCAGGCAGGUAAACUACUGAGCCAAAUCCCCGGCCCCUCUUUGGUGGGAUUAGGGAUGGAUUCUAGGGUCUCACUGAGCUACAGCCCCGGUCUUUUUUUUUGAGACAAAGUCUUACUAAGUUGCUAAAUUGCCUAGGCUGGGCUCAAACUUUUGAUUCUCCUGCCUCAGCCUCUGGGAGCGUUGGCACAUGUCACCACCUCAAGCAUGUGCAAUCUCAUGCCACCCAAAGCUCUGUAUUUCUUAAUCUUUUUUCUUUUGUAUUUCUUAAUCUUAAUGCCUCCAGUUAAAUGGUGUGAGUUUUUUUGUAAGCACUUUUUUCUUAUGUUUCUUUGAGAAAAGCGAUGAGAGAAAGUAAAUAGCUAGAUAUGGCUGGUGACGUAGCUCGGUGAUAGAGUGCUUGGGUGGCAUGCACACAGCCCUGGAUUCAAUCCCUAGCACCACAAAAAAGAAAAGGAAAUAAAUGAGCCCAGUGAGCAGUGAAAAAGGAGGGAGUAGUGGGGUUUUAAAUCUUGGUCCCCAAGAGGCAGCAAACGAAAAUCAACACAACAGAAAAUGUGAAAUCUAUAAAGUGUCUGACGGGAGAAGGAAACGCCUCAGGAAAUUCAAGAGAAAGCAAAGGGCAAGGGGUCGGAAAUAGAUAGAGACUGACAGUCCCAGGCCUGAGGACUAAAGGGACUGGGAGAGCCCCAGCUGGAGAUGGAGGCAUUUUCCGGAGAGAUUAAAGCCUGUCAUUGUUAGAAACAGAAAGGAUGUUGCAUGCAGGGAGCACCAGGCAGUGACGCAGCCACAGCCCGUGUGACAGAUUCCAGGUGACAAACAAUGCUUUGCCUAGGAGCUCAGGAGGAAAAUGGCUCCUUCUACAUGGGCAGACUCAUGCCAAAGAGCCCCGGAGUAGUUCUUAGACAAAUUCCCAAGAACACCAAAGAGUGGAGGGAGGUGUAUUCCCAGCAGUCGACUGGGUGGCCAGUGUUGCAGCAGGCCACCCUGGGCGUCCCACAGCUUCCAAUGCUGUAAGCUUUGACCGCAGAGCAGGGGCAGUGGACAGAGCAUCCCAGCAGCGCUUUGAAGACGAAGCGAUUCCCUCUGCUUCACAGGAGAGUGAAGAGAUGGCUAUCCGGUGACAAUCCAUUAUUCAUCCAGGCCCAAGGUCACCCAGCCCUGGGUGGGAGGCUGAGAGUCAGGCCCCAGCCACUGCAUCCCCAACACUUUCCACUUACCUCAUGCUGGGCAUUGUUUCAUUUUUUGAAAUCUCACCUAGGGCCAAGCUCUUUAUAUACUUUCUCUGAGCUAUAACAGGAUCCAGCCAUGUGCUUAAGUGACAGCACGUCAGCAUUUCAAAAACCUGCCACUUCCACAUGACCUUAACACCUAGAGCUAAAAUUGGACCGCAGCUCAGAGCCCAGGCAUCUCUUUCCUUUUCUGACGAUUUCAUGGAAGUGGGGGUGAGGCAGGGAGCCCUUAGUGGGCAGAGUCCAGAAUAGGAAGUAUGCCUUUCACCGGGACUUACACUGUGCUCAUGUAUUUCCUUAUAUUCACAGCCUUCUCUAAGAAAUGUAGACCUCGGGAGGCUGGGGGUGUAGCUCAGUGGCAAAGCAAGUGCGCAGAUGUGUGAGGAGGCCCAGGGCUUGAUACGCAGCACUGUCUUCAACACAUAUACAAGGGCUGAUCCAAAUAUACAGUGAUUGUCUAAAUUUUAAAAAAUUUAUUGCAGUAAAAGACCAUUCGCAUUCAUCCCCCUCAAAAUACUCCCCUUGCUUCAGACACACUUAUUCCAUCAUUCUUGCCACUUUCUAAAGCAGUUCUGGGCGUCCUUUUUUGUGAGGGUUUUCACGAGGUAUGAUCAAAAAUACGGUGAAUGCGGUGCUGAGUGCCAUCCAAAGUAAAGGCAGGCUUGUGAAAACAUCACAGGGUGUCCUCAUUCACCUUAUGCACUGGGUCUGGCACUGAGCAAUUUCCAGCUCUUCCCCAAAGGAAAAAUGACCAUGAAAAGUAAACAUUUUGAAUUGAUUCAGCACACUGAGGCAGCCACAACCUUACAACUAAAGACACUGACCAAAGAAGACUUCCAGAACUGCUUCAGAAGUGGCAAAAACAGUGGGAUAAGUGUGUUCAACAUGAGAGAGAGUAUUUAGAGAUGGAUUAAAGGCAGUGUGUCUUUAACUGUAAUGACUUUUAAAAAAUAAAUUUAACAUUCCUUAUACUUUUUGAUCAUACCAUAGAAAAGGAAACACGGUCCAUACAUUCCCCUUUGGUUACUUGGAGAAAAUAUGAUGCGGUUGCUUUCUGUUUUUGUUGAAGCAUGUCAUUAGGUCUUCCAUUUUAGAUUAAAUGAGAAUAGAAUCAUUUUUAAUAAAAAUGUCAGCAGUUUAGGGGACAGAAACUUAUAUCCAUUGUGAGCCUAUUAUGUUAGGUGCUUUAAUCUUGUUUCAUUAAUUUCUGAGAGGGAGGCAUCACUGUGUUCACUUUACAGUUAAGGAAAAUGAGGGCCAGAGACAUUAUACAAAUAGGUGGCAGAGCUGGGAUUUGAACCCAAGGACACUUGAAUUUUGACUAGGCUUUGAGAAUAAAAUCUGCGGAUUAAAAGAGAUAAAACUUUUAAGGUGCUUAGACCAGUAUCUGGAACAUGGUAAGUUUAAAUAAACGUGAACGAUUGUUAUGAGCUUUGUGUUUUUUGUUUUUUUUUUGGUACCAGGGAUCGAACUCAGAUCCUUGUGUUGCAGGGCAGGCAGCAGAACCACUGAGCUAAAUCCCCAGCAAUGUAAGUUUCUUGUGAUUCUUUUUUUGUUUUUUUGUUUUUUUGCUACCGGGGAUCGAACUCGGGUCCUUGUGCUUGCGCAGCAGGCAGUGAAACCACUUAGCUAAAUCCCUGGCCCCUUGUUGUUGUUUUUUGUUUUGUUUUGUUUUGUUUUUUGGUACCAGGGAUUGAACUUGGGUCCUUGCCCUUGCGCAGCAGGUGGCGAAACCACUGAGCUAAAUCCACAGCCCCUUGUUAUGAGCACUACUAAUAUUGAAAGAGCACCUAUAAAACCACCUUUUCAAGAGCAUUUCUAAUACACUUUUUUUUCCUUUUUGUGUUCCUGGGGAUUAAAUCCAGGGCCUUUGCCUUGACCCACAUCUCCAGCCCUCCCUAUUUUUAAAAAUUUUGAUUCAGGUUCUCACUGAGUCACUAAAUUGUGAUCCUCCCUUCUCAGGCUCCCACAGUGCUGGGAUUACAGGCACGGGCCUCCAUCCCUGGCUCGGCUUUAGAGACAGGGUCUCGCUCUGUGGCCCAGUCUGGCCUUGAACCUGUGAUCUUCCUGCCUUUGUCUCCCAAGUGUGGGGAUCACAGGUGUAUAUCACACACCCAGCAGAUAACAUUUAUUUCUCAGCCUUAUCUAGCAGAUGGACUAAUCCUUAGGGUGAAGAUCUCAGUCAUUGUUCUCACAGUGACCCUGGCACAUGACCUACACUGCAGAGUGGUCAGGUCCCUUCCUGGGUGUCUGCAUUCUCAAGGACGAAGAGCUGCAGGGAGGGUUCCAGAAGGUCACUACCUUGUCUUUUCCAGGAACUGUAAGAGGACAGAGUGCUGCUGGUGCCUCCAAGAUGGCAAGCACAGACCUUCCACGCAGAACACGGUGUUGGGGCAGAGAUAAGAGACAGAAAGCCUGGGUUGAGGAAGGCAGCCUGUAACUGCUGAGACAGCUGAGUUGUGUUGGGGUCAACUGGAGCCCUACCUCUGGGGCACAGCAGGUGGCCCGCCAGGAAGGAAGCGGGACUGAGCACCGGGCAUUAGGGCGGGAUUUAGGUCCACUCGCGUUCUCCAAAUGAGAUCUGAGGGCUGGCGAAUCCCAGUGACGUGCGGGGGGGAUAGACGAGUGUUACCAGGAAGCCCCGACCUCUGCUUGCGGGGAGAGAGGCCAGGAGGGGCGUGAGGGGCCGUGCAGCACACUCAGCCCUCCCCGGUGUUCGGGGGCCUCGGGUGCCCCAACUUCCGGGCGGCUGGGAUCUGAUCUCCUGCGGGCUGCGCCGAGAGCCCCACGCAGAGCGAGCGGAUCGGAGACAGCGCGAUGUUCCGGCUGAGCAAAGCCAGCUGCAAACCUGCUCAGGCGGCUUCCUUUCCCCGGCGCGGGGACCGAACGGGGCCUCUAGCGGCCACUCUGAGAAUGCGCUCCCGAGCCUUCAGACCCCUGGGGACUGGUUCAUCCUAAACUAGGCCUCCGCGGGCAAGACUGCAUGAUGACGUCCUCUGAAAACCUUCGCCAGGCAGAGUCGUGAGUUGGGCUGGAGCUGAGCCCUGUGCAGCUGGGUUCCAGAAUUCAGGACCAGAUUGGACUCCCAGUGUCAGUGGACACGUGGAACACUUCUGCCCCUGGCUAUUGAGAAUCAAGCUGCUAGGAAUACCAGAUUCCCCAUCCAACUGGUUGGGAAGCUCUUCAUGUGGCUUUUCAGAGUGGACAGUCCUGCUAGCUGUCCCUUUGCCCUCUGCCAGAUCCCCAGAGUUCUUUUCAUUCAUUGAUGGCUUAGGAAGAGAGAGUGUGUGCAAGACACACGUGUCUUCUACUCACUGGCCAAGAUAAGACAAGACUACAACAUCAUUUCCUGGUCCUGCCUACUUCCUGUGGGCGGCCCCUUCUCCACGAGAGCAGCACCUGACACAGGGGACUCAUUCUCCUUUGAUGCUUUUUAAAGGUGUACUUGUGACUCGAAUGACUGUGAUCCUGGGAAAACUCAACAUUUCAUCUCAUCAAAGUCACCUUUCCAACUUUAGCAGUGAAAACUACAAGAAAGGGGGUCAAAAUUCAGAUUAGGCAUCCUGGAGCAUCCUCUCUGGCUCCACAAGGUGAUCAGAGAGUGUGGACACAUAUCCAUCUAUUGACAAAUAAUUGUGAAAGGCAAAAUGUCUCCCUAAAUUAUAGUAAUGCACAUGUGAUGUGUAUAAUUCAACACCCUUUUGUGUAGGAAGUAGCCAUACUACUAAUACACUGCUGGUGGAAUUCUUAAUUGGUUUAGCCACUUAAAGAGAAAUCAGUAUUAUGUCUUAAAGUUGAAAAUGUAGGCAUCCUAUGGCCCAGCAAUUCCAUCAAUAUGAUCAAUAAAGAUUUAUUUCCCAAUCAGCAACCCAAGAUGACUGAAUAGUGCAAACAACUGCAUAUAUAAAUGACUCCCAGUGGUUUCAUUUUUCAAUGAGAUGAUAUCUGAAGAGCAGGAAAAAAAUGACUGGGUUCAUAUGGAGGAGAAAUCAGUUCCGCUGGAAUGCUGCUGUCAGGACUGAACACAAGGCGGCAAGUUUGUAGAUGGUGGAGACCCUCGUGCUGUUUAUCUCACAGACAUUCUCAUGUAAGCCUGCCUGGGAGAACUGAAACAGGUGGACGUAUCUGUGUAAAGAAGAAGCAGUGUGGUAUCAUCUCAUAUGGUUCUCACACCAUGGGACACAUGAGAAAGAAUCACCAAGUUUAUACCAAUUCUUUUUAUUAACAGAAGUAUUGGUUCAGGAUGAGUGGAAGCAUUGUAGAAUUUAUCUGCUGUCAGACAAGUAGAGAUUUCUAGGUAAUAUUCUGCUUCCCAGACUGGCCACUUGAGUAAUACGAUAAGAACAUAGCCAUCAUGGUAGUGGCAUAAGUACCUACAUUUUCUCUUAAAUAAUCACUUACCUGGGGACCUCACCUCUUGAGAAUAUGUUGAAAAUAGAAAAUGUAUAUAAAGUCAGAUAGGCCUUCGUGAGAACAGUUGGUCUUUCCUGGGGGUAAUUUUGCCUCUCCCUGUAGGGAACAUUUGACGAUGUCUACAGACAUCUCUGAUUGGGCUGACUAACAAGGAAGGAAGAACUGCUAAUGGUGCCUAGAAGGUGGAGGGCAGGGAUCCUGAUCAAUAUUCUAAAAUGCACAGGAUGGCCUGUUAUAAUUUAGAUCUCAAGGGGCCGGGGAUUUAGCUCAGUGGUUCCGCCGCCUGCCUCGCAAGCACAAGAACCCGAGUUCGACCCCCAGUACCAAAAACAAAACAAAACAAAAAUAAUUUAGAUCUCAAAUGUCUCCCCAAAGUCUCCGGUGUGUGGAAGAUCGUUGGGUCAUGGGGCUCGGUACUCAUCAGUGGACUCAUCCUUGAUGAGUUCACAGCUGAAUGUGCUGCUAGGAGGUGGG